rnacentral:lncRNA from 1 species
CAUUGAGCAGUCAAUCAAGACUACUGGGAAGCUCAAGGAGGACACGCUGGAGCUGAGGAAUGAAUUGCGGAUCAAGCGUGACACUGCAUUUGGCCAGCUGAAAAAUCAUACAGAGAGUAUGAAGUGGCUGGAAAGAGACAUCUAUGAGAUCAACAGAAAACUCGACAUCGUGAACACUGAGAACUGCAGAUUAAAAUUAUGCAAUGCACAGAUAAAAGAAGAUAUUUUUGCAAUGAAUUCUGAAGCAGAAAACCACAAGUCAGCAACAACCAAAAUCCUGAAUGACCUAGCAGUGCUUCAUGAUCUUCUUCUGAAGGGAUGGUCAGAGGACAGCUCUAUGCAAAAGGAAUUUUUGGAGAAUGAGCGGGAAAUACUAAAAGCAGUGACAGCUCUAAUAACAAAAAUCCAACAACGAGAGAAGAAGAUCGGUGAUAUUAAUAGCAGGCUACAAAACAAAUUGGAAGGACUUGAUUCUCUAGUUGAAAAAAACCCCAGAGUGGAUCACCGUUCUGCUGAAGACUAA